rnacentral:rRNA from 1 species
UACAGAGGUCCCGAGCGUUGUUCGGAUUCACUGGGCGUAAAGCGCGUGUAGGCGGCUAUCUAAGUCUGAUGUGAAAGCCCUGGGCUCAACUCAGGAAGUGCAUUGGAUACUGGAUAGCUGGAGUACCGGAGAGGAGGGUGGAAUUCCUGGUGUAGCGGUGAAAUGCGCAGAUAUCAGGAAGAACACCAAUGGCGAAGGCAGCUCUCUGGGACGGUACUGACGCUGAGACGCGAAAGCGUGGGGAGCAAACAGG